GCUACCUCUGCUGAGCUGAAUGGAAGCAAAGUGUUCGAGCUUUAUUUUCAAAACCGAGAAAGGGGCCAUCAAAGUUUACCACCUGCCUAUGGGCCAAAUCCAGUUUACCACCUCUCUUUGUAAAUAAAGUUUUAUUGGAACACAGCCAUGCUCAUUUGUCUGGGACUGAUUUUGCUCCACAAUGACAGAGAUAAAGAAAGUGAUUAAGGACACAAUGAAUCCUGGCACAUACGUUAAAUGACUGUAGCAGACAUACAUGACAAAGGCUGAUAGAUACCCCAUCAUCCCUACAGAAAAGGAAGGCACACUGGACUGUUCCUUCCACUCAAUCUUUGUUGACUCUAAGAAAGGAGCAGACAAUCAACUGGCGUUAAGCCAUCAGUCAUCACUAUUCUCAGCUCAGCUGCCAAGAGAUGAAUGAGUUAGAUUCAACUGUCACUGAAGCCCUUCAAUAGACAUCAUCUCACUUAGAGGUCACAACAACCCUUUGAGUGAGUCAUCUUCAUGGGUCAUCUCUGUCUGCUCCCGCUGGAGGGACCACUGAAGUGGAGUCGGAGGACAGGACAGGAGAAGAGCCCAGUGUGACAGGCCAUGGCUAGUUGGAGUACGACACCUGGGGAGUGUCUGGAAACAUUUCAGACGUGCUGACGGCGAGCUUUCCUCUCUGUGCUGCCCAGCUUCAGCUCGGUUUCUGCUAAGAUCUCUCUGGAGGUUCACAGGGAGUGAAGGGCUCAUUGCCCUGCUCUGUGUUGUUUGUCCUUGGCUUUAAUUGCCACUUGUGUCCUGAGCUAUGUGGUAAUAGCACUAAUAGCUAACAUUUGUUGACUGCUUACGAUGUGCCACUGUGCGAAGAGAUUUACGCACAUUACCUCAUUGAUCUUGUUACAACCCUGUGAAGUUUUGCUAUCCUCGUUUCACAAAUGGGAAAACUGAGGUGUGGAAAGCUGUGACUUACCCACAGGGGUAUGUCUAAUCAGUGGCCCAGCUGGGAUUUGAACCCAAGUCUGUUCUCCACCAAAUCACUCAUUCUUAUCUGCCGUUCUAUACUGCCAGUAGGAUUAGGGUUUAGAUUCCUGAUAGUGAUCUGGAAGGAUUUCCAGCACUAUAAGUGACUCAAAUGGGAAGACUCAUCAGUUGCACAGACCAAAAGGUUGGGCUCCCAUCAGGUGUGGCUAAAUGAGAGGAAGCCAUCAGCUUUACGGAAGUGCAAAUGUGCCAGUGCAGUUACAAAUGAACGUCUCCAGUCAAAUCUGAGUCCUUUGUUUCGAGAUAAUCUGGCUCUCAUUGUAACCCCCAGCUUCAGGUAGCAAAUAUACGCUGAAUACUUUUCUGGAUGAGACCCCUGGAGGCUGUAGUUGUUGUUUAAGGCACCUGAGUUCCAUUACAGACUAUACAUGGUUUAACCUUACAUUUAAGUGUUUGAAUGUGUGUGAGAGAGAUGUCAAGGGGUCCAGGAGUUUUCUUCAUUAUCUGUCAGAAGGCUUCAGCCUAGUGGAGUCAGAUAGACAUGGGUUCGAAUCCUCACUCUGGUACAUGUAAGCCGCGAGAACUUUGGCAAAUUAUCGUUCUUCCAGUCUUAAUUUCUUCAUCUUUAAAGAGGCGGUAAUAGUACCUGCUUCAAGGUGGUGCUGUGAGGAUUAGAUCCUAUACAUACGCAGUGCUUGGAGCACAGUAAGUGCUCAAAAAUUGGUAGCAGGUAUUGUUCUCGGUGACCCUGCUUUGUCUAAGAAGAGGCACUGAUGGAUCGUUGGUGGCAUUAAGUCCCUGUCCUCUGCCGUGCUGGUGAUGUCCUAUUUGAAAAUGAAAAGGAAUUUUUUUUCUGAAUCUCCUCAGCAUCUUGCUGCCACAGGAAAAGAAAUCUGUUUCCACAAAGAGAUGCAAGAACUGGAGACACUGGAAGUUUACGGACUGGAGAAGGCGGAUCCGAGAAGAAAAGCAUUCUGGCGAUCAGUGACACUCUCCUGAGCCGCCCAGAUGUGGGCCAGAUGCUGCAACUCUGUAGAGACACGUCGGGCUCAGUGACUUGUGCCAUGACUUUCAUCCACGUGGCCAUGAAAGAUAGUGACUGAUCUCACUCCGAUUAUUAAGAGUGACUUCAGGGCUCUGGAAACAUGGGGGUAGGAGGCUGGGACUCGAGGGGGGAGUCUUGACAAUCCUCCCAGUUGAGCAGAAGGGUUUCUGGAGCUGACAGCCCUGCUCUGGGGAUACAUGUCUACUUCACAUGCCUCGCCCCACACCUAACAUAGAAGAGGGCUCAGCAGGAAACACUGAGGGCACUUCAAUGGGAAGUGAUCUGCGAUUUCUGCCUUUGCAGGAAUCAUCUCUAGCGACUUUUAUUUGGUGUUAUUAAAGACGAUUUUGAUGUGAUCUUAACUAUAGUGAUUCUUCCUAUCAUCACUUUCUCUUUAAUCAGCCUGUAUGGCCCCUUUUCUAGCUGGAAUUUCACUACACUGCUCAGCCUUCCAUUCCAUGCUUUUUAAAAAAUAUGAAUACUUUAUUUAUUUGUGUAAU